rnacentral:lncRNA from 1 species
AGGGUAUAUUGUAGGCGCUUUGACACAGUCCAGUUUCUGCUGUGAAGAAUAAUCUGAUUGUCUUAAAAGCAUUCUCAUGCUGGAGAAGGAAAUAAGCAGCCCCAAGACAAAGCAGCACAGGGAAUCAAGAACUGCUGUGGUAGCGGGCACAGGGGGAAGAAGAGGGCUGAAUGCAAGAGGAGAGGGGAGUCACUUAUACCACCCUCCAGUCCUGGCAGCUGUGAAACCCUUCAUCCAUUCCACCAAGACUGGAGUUGCUCUGGCCUCAGCAUUCCCAUGUUUUGACAAGUGUAGCUUUCUCCAUGGUGGAAGUUGAGCCCUCACUGCAUAUCCUGUCAUCUCCCCUGCAGCUCUGUGUAGCUGUUCCCCACCUCGCUGGGAAUCCAGGCUCCUCACAGACCAGGGCAGUUCUAAGAUUGCUGAUGUCACUGUCUUCUCUAGCUCCCUCCUGGUACAGAGAUGAGAGUUGCAGAGUCUGUAGCUACACAGAAUGUUAAGGAUUUCUUCCCAGACUGAUUACUUACAAUGGAUUACAGACUGGAUAAAAGUUGUGGAUGUUCAGUUCUGGGGCACCUACUGUCCCUCCAAUGGCCAAAGGUAGCUGUGGAGCUUCAGCAAGUCACACACCUUUCCCCAAAAGCCAUGUAUACCUCCCAGAGUAAGAAACCUGUUAUUUUAACUGGAUAGGCCCCAAAAAAGCCUAAUUCACUGAAAGCCUACCCAUAAUGAUAUCAGUAGGUCUUUGAUGCUGGGCUGGCAGUCUUGAUCCUCAGAAUGCAUGCAGGCAUCUCCCUUCACUCCCUCAUGGCCAAGGGCCAUGAGGGCACCUACAAAGCUCUGGAAAGCCUGCAGCUUCCUCUACGCCAUGCAGUAACAUUAGCUAUGGCCUGACAAAAACGAUGAGUAUCUGUCCCUGCCUGUGGGUCAUUUACUACUCAGUCCUUCGGUGAGCAGGUAGCCAAAUCUCCUGUCGAAGGUGAUCAGAGCCUGCUUUGCUGUCAGCAUGACUUGUUCAACAAGAAGGAACGUAGUUUAUUUGGUGUAUGCAUAUAAUGGUGCUGGAAAUCCUGCAAUACUUUAAUAGGGACCUUCCCUAUGCACUGGAUGGGCACCUUACAGCUCUGCUCUGUAACAUAAUCUACCAUCAGAAACCAGCAAGGACCGCCAGCCUAAGUUCAGAGACAACCUGCUGCAGCCACCCAGUUCUCACACACUCUCCCAGCUCACAAUACUCACAGGCCUCAGUUUGUUUCCCUGUUGCUUUAAAGAGGCUGCCGCCUACACUGUCCCAUAGGAGAUAGAGCUCAGUACACAUUCAGUUCUGCCCUGCUCAGCAACUUAGGUGCUAAAACACCAUCCUACAGAGAGCUGCUAUCUCUGCUCACUACUUACAGUAACAAGCUUUCUGCUAGAAUGAGGUAUCAAACACCUUCUUCUAAGAAGCAGGUAAGAGGUUGGUGGCUUGGGGGGUUUUUUUAUUAUUAUUAUUAUUCAACUUUUCUAUGGGAUAGAACAUUCAUUAUACCUCAGUACAAAUAUCCUUUCUGCCUACAAAGAUUUGAGCAUUCCUGUAUUUCCUCGUUAGCAUGAAACUACCACAUUGGUAUGAAAUCAUCUUGCACUAAGGUAGCUCCAUGUUGCAAGGAGCCAAGUACUCUUUGGGACUGAAAAUGAUGGUAAAAAGCCGAGUGGUAAAACCCCUUUACUUGAAAGCAAUGAAACUUGGAUUGCAGAUCCUGCUCCAGGAAAGACUUAAUAAAGCACCACCAAUACAGCUUGAUGCUUACAGGAAAAGGAAUCUGGAGUCUCACAAGCAGGGAAGGAAAAUGAAUCUUGGCUUCUCCUUGAGCAAUGCUCAACUGUUGAGUAUCUGCUUGUAUCUCCUUGUGCAAGUGAGGGAAAGGGACUAGCACAGUGCCAAGCGUGCUUUCAAGGUGGCAAGUCCUCAUCCUCCUGUCUUACCUAUGUUGUAAGGCUUGGUAAGGCAGAGACAGGAGGCACACGCUCAGCAUCUGCUGCUGUCAGGACUCUCUAUGCCCAUGUGCAUUAACAUAAGCUUUGAUACCUGCAAAGUCAGGCGUGGGUUCCUGGAUGCCAGCGAUGCCUGUGAACAGUUGUCUUAUACACUGCUUGAUGCUCUGCUUAUUGUGGGAGACCAUUUUCUUUCUGCUGUCAGUUGUCAUUUCCCAGGCCCAGCAGCUCUCUUCAGGCCACACGCCCAGCA